UACGAAGGGGCUAGCGUUGUUCGGAUUUACUGGGCGUAAGCGCACGUAGGCGGAUUGUUAAGUGAGGGUGAAAUCCCAGGCUCAACCCUGGAACUGCCUUCAUACUGGCAAUCUUGAGUCCGGAAGAGGUGAGUGGAACUCCUAGUGUAGAGGUGAAUUCGUAGAUAUUAGGAAGAACACCAGUGGCGAAGGCGGCUCACUGGUCCGGUACUGACGCUGAGGUGCGAAAGCGUGGGGAGCAA
rnacentral:rRNA from 1 species